rnacentral:rRNA from 1 species
CGGACGGGUGAGUAAUGUCUGGGAAACUGCCCGAUGGAGGGGGAUAACUACUGGAAACGGUAGCUAAUACCGCAUAACGUCGCAAGACCAAAGAGGGGGACCUUGGGCCUCUUGCCAUCGGAUGUGCCCAGAUGGGAUUAGCUAGUAGGUGGGGUAACGGCUCACCUAGGCGACGAUCCCUAGCUGGCUGAGAGGAUGACCAGCCACACUGGAACUGAGACACGGUCCAG